UCCUCUUCUUCUCCAUUCUUCUAGUUUCUUCAUCAUCAAGCACUUCCUUUACCAAAGCUUUAAGGCUAGGACCAAGUUCUUCAAAUUUUCUAAAGUUGUUGAGGGGAAAUUCAAGCUUUAAAGAGGAAUUAGGGGCUGCCAACUUCUUCUUCAUAAUCUAAAAUUCAAAUCAUAAAGAAAGGGUUUCCAAAAGGCUUGAAAGGGGAUCGCACUUGAGGUUGUCUUAUCUCUAUCAAUGGACUCUAGGGCUUUGGCUCACGGGUGCUCUAUGGUGCAUGUAAGGGAAAUGGAAAGGUAGAUUAGCCAUAAAUUGGAGAGCUUGGCAGUGAAGCGUGCAUGUUCGGUCAGCUUAACCUACUGGGUUGAGUUAUUUGAUGGACUUGAGUCAAAAGUCCGAUUUUGUCACUUAAGCCGACCCCUUUUGAGAACAAAGAUUGUAAUUAUGUUUUGUUUAAAAUAAAUGGGAUCUCAUGUAAAUUUUCAUGAAAUGGUUUAUUAAUUUCUUGUUUAAUUUUAAAUCACAUUUUUGGGUUCAAACUAUCUUGUUUAUCAAGUUAAGGUGACAGCCAAAUUAAGACACAAUACGAGAAGGCAUCAG